UACGGAGGGUGCCAGCGUUAUUCGGAAUCAUUGGGUGUAAAGCGCGUGUAGGCGGCUAGGUAAGUCAGAUGUGAAAGUUCUGGGCUUAACCGAGAAAGUGCAUUUGAAACUGCCUGGCUUGAGUCUCGUAGAGGAAGGUGGAAUUCCCAGUGUAGAGGUGAAAUUCGUAGAUAUUGGGAGGAACACCGGUGGCGAAGGCGACCUUCUGGGCGCAGACUGACGCUGAGACGCGAAAGCGUGGGGAGCAAACAGG
rnacentral:rRNA from 1 species